rnacentral:rRNA from 1 species
UGCAAGUCGAACGAACCUUCGGGUUAGUGGCGGACGGGUGAGUAACGCGUGGGAAUCUGCCCUCAGGAGGGGGAUAACGGCCGGAAACGGCCGCUAAUACCCCAUAUGCCGAGAGGUGAAAUGAAUUUCGCCUGAGGAUGAGCCCGCGUCUGAUUAGCUAGUUGGUGAGGUAAGAGCUCACCAAGGCAUCGAUCAGUAGCUGGUCUGAGAGGAUGAUCAGCCACACUGGGACUGAGACACGGCCCAGACUCCUACGGGAGGCAGCAGUGGGGAAUUUUCCGCAAUGGGCGAAAGCCUGACGGAGCAACGCCGCGUGAGGGAUGAAGGCCUCUGGGCUGUAAACCUCUUUUAUCAAGGAAGAAGAUCUGACGGUACUUGAUGAAUAA